CACUAAUGACCCCACUAACAUAGUAAAGUCAACUAAUUACUCCAUCAAGUACUCCAAUUUAUUGUCACCAGCCACCAAUAUAGUAAAGUCACCUAAUUACUCCACCAAUUACUCUCACUCCAAUUUAUUGCCAUCAAUUUACUGCCACCAACUUGCUAUAUUUCAUUUUGUUUCUUCUUCUUCCUUGGAUUUUCGCAGAAACAUGGUUCUGCUUCUUCUUCUUCCAUCUACUCCUUUCUUUUUUUUUUUUUUUUUA
rnacentral:misc_RNA from 1 species